GAGAGUUAAAUAGUACGUGAAAUUGUUGAAAGGGAAACGAUUGAAGUCAGUCAUGCUAGUGAAAAAUCAGUUUGACGGGUUUUGAGUUCAGGAGUAGAGGCAGGGUCAAACCGUUUCUCUUUUGGACUUGGGAUUUGUUAGAUGUACUUUUUCUUUGGCAGGUCAGCGUCGAUUUCGGAGGUUGUAAAAUACUUGGGGAAAAGUAGCUCUGCUUCGGGAGAGUGUUAUAGACCUUGGGUGAUGCGGCCUGCGGGAUCGAGGAUUGCAGCAAAUGCUUUUGGCUUGUCGCCUGAUCUCUGGACGUCAUCUCGCUUGUAUCAACAUUCUUGGUACCGGUGAGUAAUGGUGCUCAUAGGUUAGAGCGAUCAAAAAUUUUGCUAAGGAUGCUGACGUAAUGGCUUUAAACGA
rnacentral:rRNA from 1 species